CGAACGCUGGCGGCGUGCUUAACACAUGCAAGUCUAGGGAGAACGGUUGGCUUCGGCCUUCCUAGUAAACCGGCGCACGGGUGAGUAACACGUAGGUAACCUACCCUAGAGACUGGGAUAACCUAUCGAAAGAUGGGCUAAUACCAGAUAUGACCACGGGAGUUUCGGCUUCUGCGGUGAAAGAUGGCCUCUGCUUGCAAGCUAUCACUCAAGGAUGGGCCUGCGCACCAUUAGCUAGUUGGUGAGGUAACGGCUCACCAAGGCUACGAUGGUUAGUUGGUCUGAGAGGAUGACCAGCCACACUGGGACUGAGACACGGCCCAGACUCCUACGGGAGGCAGCAGUGGGGAAUAUUGCGCAAUGGGGGAAACCCUGACGCAGCGACGCCGCGUGGGUGAUGAAGGCCUUCGGGUCGUAAAGCCCUGUCGGAGGGGAAGAAGGAUUGCGGUGCAAAUAGUUCCGUGGUCUGACGGUACCCUUAAAGGAAGCACCGGCUAACUCCGUGCCAGCAGCCGCGGUAAUACGGAGGGUGCAAGCGUUGCUCGGAAUUACUGGGCGUAAAGCGCGUGUAGGCGGUUUCGUGUGUCUGAUGUGAAAUCCCCGGGCUCAACCCGGGAAGUGCAUUGGAAACUGCGAGACUAGAGUCCCGGAGAGGAAGGUGGAAUUCCAGGUGUAGCGGUGAAAUGCGUAGAUAUCUGGAAGAACACCGGUGGCGAAGGCGGCCUUCUGGACGGUGACUGACGCUGAGACGCGAAAGCGUGGGGAGCAAACAGGAUUAGAUACCCUGGUAGUCCACGCCAUAAACGAUGGGCACUAGGUGUCGCGGGUAUUGACCCCUGCGGUGCCACAGCUAACGCAUUAAGUGCCCCGCCUGGG
rnacentral:rRNA from 1 species